rnacentral:lncRNA from 1 species
AACCGGGCUGCUCUAUCUUCUUCACAAGCUAACCAUCGGACCCUAAUCUUCAGCAGCUAAUAACGACCCCCUCCCUCUCAUUCUUCUUUCUUUUUCUUUAACUCAUAUUCGUGCACGCCCUUGAAGAUCUGGUUGAAGAAGUCAAAAGAAAGAAGCGAAAAUUCCAAAAUCGGAUUUGAAAAGCUAAAGAAGAGGAAUUUCUUAAAAAUCUGGAUUUCUAGUUGUCUCUCAGAGUCAAAAUCACCGUUGUUCAUUGUUGAAGCUGUUGUAUCUGCGUAGCUGAACUCUCUUCGAUUUUCUUGACCUUUAUUUGGGUUCAUUUCCUUCUUCUUGUGAUAAAUUCAAGGUAAAUGUUCUUAUAUCUCGCUAAAUGUGCUGAGUUUUAUAAGAUGUUAUAGUUUUUAUGGUGCUGAAAUUGAAUUGCAUUCUUGGAAUCAUGCUUUCGAUUAUUAGAUCUGUUUUAUUGGUGUUUAUAUGUUAACGACUAAGUUAUGCUAAUGACUUGGGUCUGAGUUUUUUAAAAUUGGAGUUAGUUGUUAAUCCGUGUCGUUUGGUUUCUACUGUUGUUCUGCACUUUCAUGAUUUAUUCGUUGCUCAAAUGCUGACAUUUAUUUGCUUAAUUUUAUUGUUUUCCCUAGUAUUAGUUUGAUGUUCCUACUGUUAAAUUCCAUCCGCUAUUGCAAACUCUGUAUGACUAUGAGACUCGGUUAAAAAUAGUAUAUUGGGCUUUUUAUCCAUCUAGCCUCCAACAGACAAAGAAUAUGUCGACAUUUUUUCCCAGA